rnacentral:rRNA from 1 species
AGAGAUGUACUUUCCUUCGGGACAGAGGAGACAGGUGGUGCAUGGUGUCGUCAGCUCGUGUCGUGAGAUGUUGGGUUAAGUCCCGCAACGAGCGCAACCCUUGAUCUUAGUUGCCAGCACUUCGGGUGGGCACUCUAAGGUGACUGCCGGUGACAAACCGGAGGAAGGUGGGGAUGACGUCAAAUCAUCAUGCCCCUUAUGACCUGGGCUACACACGUACUACAAUGGCCGGUACAACGGGCCGCGAAGCCGCGAGGUGGAGCUAAUCCUAAAAAGCCGGUCUCAGUUCGGAUUGCAGGCUGCAACUCGCCUGCAUGAAGUCGGAAUUGCUAGUAAUCGCGGAUCAGCAUGCCGCGGUGAAUACGUUCCCGGGUCUUGUACACACCGCCCGUCACACCACGAGAGUUUAUAACACCCGAAGUCGGUGGGGUAACCGCAAGGAGCCAGCCGCCGAAGGUGGGAUAGAUGAUUGGGGUGAAGUCGUAACAAGGUAGCCGUAUCGGAAGGUGCGGCUGGAUCACCUCCUU